UACGUAGGGGGCAAGCGUUGUCCGGAAUCAUUGGGCGUAAAGAGCUCGUAGGCGGCUUGGCAAGUCGGGUGUGAAAACUUCAGGCUCAACCUGGAGCGGCCACUCGAUACUGCCAUGGCUUGAGUCCGGUAGGGGACCACGGAAUUCCUGGUGUAGCGGUGAAAUGCGCAGAUAUCAGGAGGAACACCGGUGGCGAAGGCGGUGGUCUGGGCCGGUACUGACGCUGAGGAGCGAAAGCGUGGGGAGCGAACAGG
rnacentral:rRNA from 1 species